UGCCAGACUCCUACGGGAGGCAGCAGUGAGGAAUAUUGGUCAAUGGGCGAGAGCCUGAACCAGCCAAGUCGCGUGAAGGAUGAAGGAUCUAUGGUUUGUAAACUUCUUUUAUAUGGGAAUAAAGUGAGGAACGUGUUCCUUUUUGUAUGUGCCAUAUGAAUAAGCAUCGGCUAACUCCGUGCCAGCAGCCGCGGUAAUACGGAGGAUGCGAGCGUUAUCCGGAUUUAUUGGGUUUAAAGGGUGCGUAGGUGGUUAAUUAAGUCAGCGGUGAAAGUUUGUGGCUCAACCAUAAAAUUGCCGUUGAAACUGGUUGACUUGAGUAUAUUUGAGGUAGGCGGAAUGCGUGGUGUAGCGGUGAAAUGCUUAGAUAUCACGAAGAACUCCGAUUGCGAAGGCAGCCUACUAAACUGCCACUGACAUUGAUGCUCGAAAGUGUGGGUAUCAAACAGGAUUAGAUACCCGCGUA
rnacentral:rRNA from 1 species